rfam:Oryza glumipatula chromosome 7, whole genome shotgun sequence.
AAAAAGACAAACCCUGGGUUUCCGUGUCCAACUUUAGCUAUCUGUCUUAUAUGAAAUUUUUUUAUAAUUCGUAUUUUCAUUGUUAUUAGAUGAUAAAACAUGAUUAAUAUUUUAUGCGUGACUUGUCUUUUUAUUUUUUUUUAUAAUUUUCUCAAAUAAGACGGACGGUCAAACGUUGGGCACGGAAACCAGGGUUUGUCUUUUU